rnacentral:lncRNA from 1 species
CUUAAUUACCUCUUUAAAGACCAUAUCUCCAAAUAUGGUCACAUUCUUCAGUACUGGGGGUUAGGAUUUCAGCGUGUGAAUUCUGUAGGAUGCAAUUCAACCUGGAACACCCCACAUCCAAUCUGUGAAUGAAUCCCAGCAGUUCCACCUUCACAACAUAUCGGGAACCCAGCCGCCUCUCCCCACCUUCCCUAUUGUCUUCCUGGUCUAAGCCAUUGCUGACUGCCAUCUGCACCAACCACACUUGCCUCCUAGCAGCCAACGGUGCCCCUGAAUUCCCUUCUCCAGGCUUGGUCUGCCUGAAGCUGAAAGUCAUCCUAGGAAGAGGGAAGAUGGUACCCCAGAUGCUGCAACCAGGAGUACCUGUCCUCCUCGUCACAAGGCCAGUCUCCAGGGAGUCUCUGUCAAAACAAGAGCAAGGCUCAGCUUGGGAUGGAGACGUGCCACCCAGUGCCCCAUUUCCUAGUUGGAUGUUUG